AUUUAAUGUUAAAUGUUUGGCAAACCAUAGCAAACUUUUUAAAAUCAUGUUCUUUAUUCUACUCUGCAGAAAUGGAUCAGUCAUCAAUAUCAUGCAAUCUGAGUUUUCAAAGGGGAAUAACACUCCUACUAGCGCUGAAGUAGAGGAGGUUUUAGUGACUGCUUCUCAAAAUGUCACUGGCUUUGACAUUGAAACGAGCUCCAUCAUUGUCAAUUCCAUCCUUACUGUGGAAUCAACAAUACCUUCAACAACGACACUAUUAAGUACCUCUGCUGCUACCAUGACAUCAAUUAUUCCUACAACAACGUCACAAGAAAUUUUAUCAACAAAUCCACUUGAAACAUCAAGUCCAACAUCAUCAAUUACUUCUGAAGAAUCCAUAACAACUACAUCAAAUCCUUCACUGAGCACAACUCUAGCAACAUUUACAACAUCUGGUCAAGCUCCAAGUAAAGCAGAAACUACAACAGGAGCACAAGAAACUUUGACAUCUCUUUUGACAGCAACCACAUCAAAAACCACACCAAUUACUUUAACUAACCCAACAGCGGAAACUACAACAUUUGAAAGAACAACACCAUUUAGUUCAACAUUUGUUGGACAGACCACAACAGCUCCAUUGACUGCAACAACUCCUCAAACAACAGCCAGAGUUUCUGAAACAACAGAUACAACAUCGUUCACUCUUGAUUUAACAGCUGAGACAACAUCUGUGAUAACAACUGAUGCUUUAACCACUACUGCUUUUUGACAUUACCUCCUCAAACAACAACAGGAAGACCUUCAACAAUUGCUUCAACAACUGCACUACUAAGUACACCUGCUGCUACCAUGACGUCAACAAAAAAUCCUACAACGCCACAAGAAACUUUAUCAACAAAUCCAGUUGAAACAUUAGGUCCAACAACAUCUUUGUUAUCAACAUCAUCAAUUACUUCUGAAGAAUCCAUAACAACUACAACAAUCCUUCACUGAGCACAACUCUAGCAACAUUUACAACAUCUGGUCCAGCUGCAACUACAGCAGAAACUACAACAGGAGCAGAAGAAACUUUGACAACUCUUUUGACAGCAACCACAUCAAAAACCACACCAAUUACUGUAACUAACCCAACAGCGGAAACUACAACAUUUGAAAAAACAACACCAUUUAGUUCAACAUUUGUUGGGGAGACCACAACCAGCUCCAUUGACUGCAACAACUCCUCAAACAACAGCCAGAGUUUCUGAAACAACAGAAACAACAUCGUUCACUCUUGAUCUAACAGCUGAGACAACCAUCUGUGAUAACAACUGAUGCUUUAACCACUACUGCUUCUUUGACAUCACCUCCUCAAACAACAACAGGAAGACCUUCAACAAUUGCUUCAACAACUGCACUCCUAAGUACACCUGCUGCUACCAUGACGUCAACAAAAAAUCCUACAACAACGACACAAGAAACUUUAUCAACAAAUCCAGUUGAAACAUUAGGUCCAACAACAUCUGUGUUAUCAACAUCAUCAAUUACUUUUGAAGAAUCC
rnacentral:lncRNA from 1 species